rnacentral:rRNA from 1 species
UGGGGAAUAUUGCACAAUGGAGGGAACUCUGAUGCAGCAACGCCGCGUGCGGGAUGACGGCCUUCGGGUUGUAAACCGCUUUCAGCCAUGACGAAGCUUUUGUGACGGUAGUGGUAGAAGAAGCACCGGCUAACUACGUGCCAGCAGCCGCGGUGAUACGUAGGGUGCGAGCGUUGUCCGGAAUUAUUGGGCGUAAAGAGCUUGUAGGCGGUUUGUCGCGUCGAUAGUGUAAACACGCAGCUUAACUGUGUGCCUGCUGUCGAUACGGGCUGACUAGAGGAGGGUAGGGGAGCAUGGAAUUCCCGGUGGAGCGGUGGAAUGCGCAGAUAUCGGGAGGAACACCAGUGGCGAAGGCGGUUCUCUGGACCUUUCCUGACGCUGAGAAGCGAAAGCGUGGGUAGCAAACAGG